AGAACUAUUUUGGAGGAAUAAUAAUUCACCAAACCAGGGGAAUGUGAUGCGUCUUAGUAUAGAGGUGACCAUUGUGUACACACCGGUCUAACUGACCUGUUUACUAACGCGAAAGGAAUUGUGGGUAGCACUUCUUUUGCGAGUAAAAAGUGAAAGCGAAAGUACAUGUAAGUCAUGUAAUCGUGCUUCUGAUAAUCGAUAUCAGUCUUAAUAGAGAUUCAAAAUCACAUUUAAACAUAAUUUAAUAACAUUUCUUUUUUAACACACACCCUUUCAUUAUUAACAUUUUCAUUCCUACGAAGUCCUACUUUGGCGGAAGCAUAAUUCCCCAAACCAGGGGAAUGUGAUGCGUCUUAGAAUAGAGGUGACAAUAAAGUAGUGAUGUCACCAUCUAUGUAUAGAAUGGUUCCCCACAGUUUAUUUAUGACACAAUUCUGUAACUCAAACGUCAGGCUACGUUUACGAUUGCUGAAUUUUUUAGAAGUUUAUACUAAGAAUCCCGACAGACCUACAUGGCUCCUCAUUGUUUUUAAGUCGUUUUCGUCGUUUUUGUUGCUUGUUUGUCAAAAACAAUAUAUUUUAACUUGUGUUUUGUUGCUUGUUUUUCAAACACACAAUAUAUUUUAACUUGUGUUUUUUAUUUCUUUUUUCAAACAAGAUAUAUUUUCACUUGUUUUUUUUGCUUGUUUAUCAACCACAAUCUAAUAUCCUGUGUGUGUUUGUAUUGUUCGUUUUUCAAACACAAUAUAUUUUCAUGUGUGUGUGUUUUCUUGUAUAUAUUUCGAACACUAUAUUAUUCUCAUUCGCAGCCGAUGGUCUUUUGGAGAAGCCCGAAUUCGAACACUACUAUACAACAAUUUUGAGGCAACUGUUCCCCUGCCACGGAAACGGAGGUGGAAAAUAACGCAUUGUAUUGUGUAAUAUUCUCAACUCGAUUAUGACUCCAAAAAUUUAGUUUUAUGUAACCUUUAUUGAGACUGACAUUAAGCCUGGUUGAGUCUGACUUUCCUCUCGAAGUACAUUAUUUUGAUUCUGACUUGAAAUAUUUUGGUUUUUAGUGAUGUAUGUUUGUCGAUAUUGCCAUAAUAAAUGCGAUACAAAAUGCC